GCUCCGCUAGCUCAGUAGAGCGUGUGGCCGUUAACCACAAGGUCGGUGAUUCGAACCCAUCGUGGAGCG
rnacentral:tRNA from 1 species